rnacentral:rRNA from 1 species
AGGACGAACGCUGGCGGCGUGCUUAACACAUGCAAGUCGAACGAGGUGCUUGCACCUAGUGGCGAACGGGUGAGUAACACGUGAGCAACCUGCCCUUGGCUCUGGGAUAGCCUCCGGAAACGGGGAUUAAUACCGGACAUGACCUUCUCCUGCAUGGGGGGAGGGUGGAAAGUUUUUCGGCCAGGGAGGGGCUCGCGGCCUAUCAGCUUGUUGGAGGGGUAACGGCCCACCAAGGCGACGACGGGUAGCCGGCCUGAGAGGGCGACCGGCCACACUGGGACUGAGACACGGCCCAGACUCCUACGGGAGGCAGCAGUGGGGAAUAUUGCGCAAUGGGCGAAAGCCUGACGCAGCGACGCCGCGUGGGGGAUGAAGGCCUUCGGGUUGUAAACCCCUUUCAGCAGGGACGAAGCGAAAGUGACGGUACCUGCAGAAGAGCGCCGGCUAACUACGUGCCAGCAGCCGC